GACGGAGGAUGCAAGCGUUAUCCGGAAUUAUUGGGCGUAAAGCGUCCGCAGGUGGACAUACAAGUCUGCUGUCAAAGUGCAGAGCUUAACUCUGUAAAGGCGGUGGAAACUGUAGGUCUUGAGUAUGGUAGGGGUAGAAGGAAUUCCCGGUGUAGCGGUGAAAUGCGUAGAUAUCGGGAAGAACACCAGUGGCGAAAGCGCUCUACUGGGCCAUAACUGACACUGAGGGACGAAAGCUAGGGGAGCGAAAGGG
rnacentral:rRNA from 1 species